UGCUUUCUAUCUUUCUUUCUAUUCUUCUUUUUUUUUUUUUAAUUCCUCUCAACUUUUUAUCUGUACCUGCUUUAUUUUUUCCUCCCCAUACCACCUUCACUUUCGCCUCCCAUCUUUCUCCAUAUCAUUUUUCACUUUUCCAUCCUUCAAAGUACCUCUCCCACCUACUCUCUCUCCACGUCACAUUUCUCUUCUUUUCCACUACUAUCGUAAACCCACUACGUAUCCCGCCGGCCGCCGCUCCGAAUCGUCGCUGUCGCCUCCCCUCGCAGGAGCACGGAAGACGUCGCCUCCCUCGUAGGAGCAUGGAAGGCGUCACCUUCUGUUACAUCAUGUCCUUCCUAGCAUACGAAGCCUCACCACCCCCUACAAACCUUCCCAACGAACCCCGCCGUACACUGCCCAUCACCUCUCCAUUACCGCGUACAGCCCCUCAUCUCCCCCUAUCUCUUCUUCUUCCUUUCUCCGUUAGCUUGCCAUUUUCCAAAACAUUACUUCUUCUUCUCUCUCUUUCUCUCUCUCUCUCUCUCUCUCUCUCUCUCCCUCUCUCUCUACACCAUUAAUG
rnacentral:lncRNA from 1 species